GGAAAAUGAAGGAGUUUCGGGUGCGCGAAGGUGACUUUUCUCGUUUUCUCGUCGCCUCUCUCAAGCUUGAACUGUCUUGACUGACUGUUUCGGCGCGGCAGCUGGCUCGCAGGAGCCUCCUU
ensembl:ncRNA C34E11.16 ncRNA